ACUGUACCCGGCCGGCACAACGAAGCUGAAUCCACCUACAUCAUGAGAGUGGUCCCUGACGUCGUCCUGCAAGUGGAUCCAUUCUUACGCCCACCCUUGCACUCACAUGACAGCCCCCUUCACAUCGUUUCCCGCAGCUUUAAUGCUGCAGACUGCGCUGGUGCAAGAAACUACGACAACAGGACUGCGACUGCCUACGUAUCCACGCAACUUUUAAUGAAGCGGCUUUGCGUUUCAGCGGUCUUUGCUUGGUGCCAACGGACUUUCUGGGACGACACCACCUACUUCUCUGCUGCAAUAAAAACUGAACCAGCCAGACACAGAGGAGACACCACCUUUGGCAAUCUGUCUGCGGUUUCCCGCCACUAAAGCCUUUCCACAGGUCGCCAGAGGCCGUGUGAGUGAGUGUGACACCAGGCAUCCUGGCCUGUCCUCCCCCCACAGGGGUGCUCCAGCAGGAGGAUCGCCCAGGCCCAAUUACAGUAAUCACCCCCAUCAAAGAGCACAUGUCACUGGAGGGAGCCACUGGCCGGCCACCACACCAUGCCAGCCAGAGGUGAGAGUGUCCCUGUCUGUGUGCGGUGAGUGGAAAUGUGUGUAUUUUGUGUGUGUGUGUUUCAUGAGCCUCUUUACAUCUGUAAAUAUUAUUGAGAGUCUUUCCUUUCCGAAUGUGCUAAAUGUUUAAUCGUCUGCAUGUACAAUUUAUUUUGGAAAUCACACGUUCUGUGGCAGGAGAAGCAUGGUAAGAAAAUACUGCAGAAACUGCCAUGAGCUCAAAGUGCCAGGAGCAGCAAACUCACAGAGCCACUCUCUUUGUCCUAGCAGGCACACGCACUGCUUUAUGCCUACGGUCUACCUGCAAGCCCUCACUGCAAAUUACCACAGCAGUCCUGUCCUUCCACAAGGAUUUACAGUUGCUGUGUCAGGACUUGUUACCCGCCCGGCAGUCUGAUGCUUACGGUUUGUUUUUAUAAGGGCUUUGCAUGUCCUGAGGUGUUAGUCAUGUCACCUGCCAUACAUGGUUUGUGUGACCUCGAGACCAUCUAUUAGACAAGAAGGCUAGACAUGUAAUCAGAUGAA